rnacentral:rRNA from 1 species
GCACGGAGUUAGCCGAUCCUUAUUCUUCGGGUACCUUCAACUCAUUACACGUAAUGAGGUUUAUUCCCCGAUAAAAGCAGUUUACAACCCAUAGGGCCGUCUUCCUGCACGCGGCAUGGCUGGUUCAGGCUUGCGCCCAUUGACCAAUAUUCCUUACUGCUGCCUCCCGUAGGAGUCUGGUCCGUGUCUCAGUACCAGUGUGGGGGAUCAUCCUCUCAGAUCCCCUAUGCAUCGUAGCCUUGGUAAGCCGUUACCUUACCAACUAGCUAAUGCAACGCAUGCCCAUCUUUAACCACCGAAGCUUUAACAGUUACACCAUGCAGUGCUGCUGUUUUAUGCGGUAUUAAUCUCUCUUUCGAAAGGCUAUCCCCCAGUUAAAGGUAGGUUGCAUACGUGUUACGCACCCGUGCGCCACUCUCAUGAGAACCGAAGUCCUCAAUCCCGUACGACUUGCAUGUAUUAGGCCUGCCGCUAGCGUUCAUC